CCUACGGGAGGCAGCAGUGGGGAAUUUUGGACAAUGGGCGCAAGCCUGAUCCAGCCAUGCCGCGUGAGUGAAGAAGGCCUUCGGGUUGUAAAGCUCUUUCGGCCGGGAAGAAAUCGCAUUCUCUAAUAUAGGGUGUGGAUGACGGUACCGGACUAAGAAGCACCGGCUAACUACGUGCCAGCAGCCGCGGUAAUACGUAGGGUGCGAGCGUUAAUCGGAAUUACUGGGCGUAAAGCGUGCGCAGGCGGUUUUGUAAGACAGAUGUGAAAUCCCCGGGCUUAACCUGGGAACUGCGUUUGUGACUGCAAGGCUAGAGUACGGCAGAGGGGGGUGGAAUUCCUGGUGUAGCAGUGAAAUGCGUAGAUAUCAGGAGGAACACCGAUGGCGAAGGCAGCCCCCUGGGCCUGUACUGACGCUCAUGCACGAAAGCGUGGGGAGCAAACAGGAUUAGAUACCCUGGUAGUCCACGCCCUAAACGAUGUCGACUAGUCGUUCGGAGCAGCAAUGCACUGAGUGACGCAGCUAACGCGUGAAGUCGACCGCCUGGGGAGUACGGCCGCAAGGUUAAAACUCAAAUGAAUUGACGG
rnacentral:rRNA from 1 species